GACGAACGCUGGCGGCGUGCUUAACACAUGCAAGUCGAACGGAAAGGCCCCUUUGGGUUUACUCGAGUGGCGAACGGGUGAGUAACACGUGAGUAACCUGCCCUUGACUUCUGGAUAACUUCAGGAAACUAGGGCUAAUACCGGAUAGGAAUCCUUGCUGCAUGGUGGGGGUUGGAAAGCUUCGUCGGUUUUGGAUGGACUCGCGGCUUAUCAGCUUGUUGGUGGGGUAGUGGCUUACCAAGGCUUUGACGGGUAGCCGGCCUGAGAGGGCGACCGGCCACAUUGAGACUGAGAGACGGCCCAGACUCCUACGGGAGGAAGAAGUGGGGAAUAUUGCACAAUGGGCGGAAGCCGGAUGCAGCAACGCCGCGUGCGGGAUGACGGCCUUCGGGUUGUAAACCGCUUUCAGCAGGGGAGAAGCUUGUGGUGACGGUACCUGCAGAAGAAGCACCGGCUAACUACGUG
rnacentral:rRNA from 1 species